rnacentral:rRNA from 1 species
UACGUAGGGGGCUAGCGUUGUCCGGAAUUACUGGGCGUAAAGGGCUCGUAGGCGGCCAACUAAGUCAGACGUGAAAUCCCUCAGCUUAACUGGGGAACUGCGUCUGAUACUGGAUGGCUUGAGUUUGGGAGAGGGAUGCGGAAUUCCAGGUGUAGCGGUGAAAUGCGUAGAUAUCUGGAGGAACACCGGUGGCGAAGGCGGCAUCCUGGACCAACACUGACGCUGAGGCGCGAAAGCUAGGGUAGCAAACGGG